rnacentral:lncRNA from 1 species
UUCUUUCUCUCUUUUAUUCCUUCUCUAUUUCCUUUCUCUCCUUGCUGGGAAACCCCCUCCCCCAGGAAGCUCGGUGCUCCGGCGACAAUCCUCUCUCUCUGGUGACACCUGUCUCUCUCUCCCCUCUCGCGGUGUGUCCCCCUCCCCCCUCUCUCGAUUUCUUUUCUUUCUUUUCCCUUUUUUGCUUAGGUUCAUAGAGAAAAACAUUGUUUACUGAAAUUGGUGUCUUUGUCUUAAAAAUUUGAAAAGGCACAAUGAAUUAAUAGUGGAAUAAGUUUGGAAUAAAUUACUAAAAAAGAAUGGAGUAAAUUAGUAUGAACCUUUUAAUUUAUUAGUUGCAACUAAUUGUGAUUCUUAUGAUAUUUUUGUUACACUUUUCAUAUUAAUUUGGUAGUUGAAUCUAGGUUUUAGAUUAUUGUCAAAAAGUUUGAUUGAAUCUAGUGUUGAGAUUGUUGUCGAAGAAUUUAGUUGAUUAAGAUUUGGGAUUUUGUUUAAAAAUCUUAAUUUCUGAUUGGAAUUGUAGUACUUAAUUAUAGUUUAAACCUAUAGUUUACAACAACAACAACUAUCCAGUAUACUCCCACCAGGUAGGGUCUGGGGAAGUUUAAACCUUUAGUUUAAAUUUUUAAAUUAAGUUUAUUGUUGCCUUUAAGUUUAUUAAUGAAAUGAUAUUAACUUUUAGUUUGUUGGUUUGGAAUUGUAUUAAGUACUUAUAUAGAUUAAAGCCUUAGUUUUAAGUUGAAUAAGUUAAGCUUACUGUUUCUUCCUAAUAUAUUAAUGGAUUGAUAUUAAAUUUAAAACUUUAUUAUUGAUACAUUAAAAGGAAUUUUUAUAUUUGAUAAUCAUACAAUAUUAUAAAUUUAAUUGAUUUUUACAAGAGUUUGUUGGACACAGCUGCGGAUAAAUUUCCUGCCAUUGAUCCAGAAUAAUGCAAGAAGGUGCUACAUUAAGAAGAGAUCAACAAAUGCAGCUGAUCCAAGCAAUAACAAGUGAAGAGGUCUAUACAACUUUGAAGAGUAUUCAUGACUUAAAAGCUUAUGGUAUUUAUGGACUUAAAUACGUACUUUUUAAAAAAGCAUGGCCAUAAGUGACUGAGACAGUGAAGCAAUUCUUUGCAUCAAAGGAGAUGUAAUGUUAGUUUGGUGAGACUGAUAUCAAAAGUCAAAAGAAUACAGACCCAUAUCAUAAAGGGCUAUGGCAGGAAGGGGCUUUCACCUAGAUAUGCAAAAUGCCUACGACUCCUUGGAGUGGGCAUUCUUGCUAAGUCUCACAUUCCCUAGGGCUCCUUGCUAGACAGAGUGACAUCUUGAGUGGAUUCACUCAUACUGCAUCAAGGAUAGAUCUACAUGGGGCCUAGAGCUCAAACAAGAAUCCAAAAUGGACAUUCUUUCUAACAAUAGUAAAUCAUUUCCCAGCCAAACUUGUUCCAUCUGUGGUACUGAAGAUGAGACACAUGCUCAUUUAUUUUUCAAAGCUAGCUUUAAACCACUAGUCUAGUCUAAAUCCCUGACAUGGCAAGGAAUUUCUAAAAGAACAACAGGAUGGAAUGAAGAAAUAGCAAAUGGGAAAGAUACUAGAGUAGGAGUAUACUGAAUGUCAUUAAGUAGAUGCAUCUAUUACCUAUGGCAAGAGAAAAUCAAAGAAUUUUCUUGAGUAGAAAAAGGAUCCCUGAGACUCUAUGGAGGCUGAUCAUAUGAGACACUCAUGGCAAAGGUCCUUGUGUGAAAUGCAAGUGUGUUAAGUUAUUGGGAGAGAAGAUGUUGUUACAUGUCGUCUUUUUAAAAAUAUAUUUAUGAAAAAUUAUUAUGUGUAGACCGAUCAUUGGGAGAAUCUUGAUAGCGUAAAUGAUGUUGAUUUUAUAAUUCUUUUGGUGGUGAGGAGAAUAUUCCCGUUUUGGAGAAUAAUAUUGAAAAUUCUAGAUUCAAUGACAUGAUAAGGGAUGCUUUUAAGAUGUUCCCGGGGGCUCAAUCUGAACCAAAUGAUGUGGCUAAGCAGUUCUUCAAAGAGUUAGAGGAAUCUAGUUAUCCGUUGUAUGAAGGUUCAGUGUAUUCCAAGUUGUAUGUUGUUGUUCGAUUACUUUAGAUUAAGUCAGAUAAUUCUAUUUCUCAAGCGGGCAUGAAUUCUAUCAUUGGGCGUAUGAAUUAACUUAAUUCGAGUAAUAUUGACCUACCCAAGUAUUUCUACAUAGAAAAAAAAUUAGUUUUCAUAUUAGAUCAAUCAUCAGAGAGGAUUCAUUGUUGUAAGAACGGUUGCAUGUUAUUCCAUAAGGAUGAUGCAUCUCGAAAGAAUUGCAAUCUUUGUAACAAGCCUUCUUACUAUGUGACGACUAGGCCAGUUGUCUCAAGAGUUAAUGCUAUGUUUUUCCCCGUUCUUGUUCUUAUUGCUAUAUUAAUCGGUUUUAUAUGUGAUCGGGUAGGUUGGCUUGAGUUCGAAAAGGAUUUGGUAAGAUUAGAGACACCUAGUCUCUUUUUAGGAAGCUUAAGUUGGAAAAGUCAACCAGAUAUCGACAUAUAUGUUAGAGGGAUCGGAUCUGAGUUUCGAUGGUUCAGUUAGCAUCGGGAGGUGAUUUGGGACUUAAGAGUGUAAUUAAAAUGAGUUUUGGAGGUUCAGAGUAGAUUUAGGCUUGAAUUGAUGAAGUUGAUAUUUUGGAGAUUUCCGGUUGGUAGGCGAGAUUCUAAUAUAGGGAUCGGAAUGGAAUUCCGAGAGUUGCAGUAGUUCCGUCGUAUUAUUUGGUAUGUGUGUGCAAAAUUUUGAAUCAUUCGAACGUGGUUUGGUACAUUUUUUGAUCAAAAGCGAAAUGCGGAAGAUUUUAGAACCUUAGGCUUGAAUUCGAUAUGUUUUGGUGGUUUUGAUGUUGUUUGAGCUGCUUUGAAGAUAGGCGCAAGUUUGAAUAAGAAUGGGAUAUGUUUCUGCUUUUGGUUGAGGUCCCCGAGGCCUCGGGGUGAUUUCGGAUGGUUGACGGAGAGUUGAAAAAUUUGAGAAGCUACAGAUUUUUGUUGCUUCUGGUAUUUCCGCUCAUGCGGAUUGGGGACCGAAGACGCGAUGCCUCUGGUGCAUAAGGAGACCACAAAAGUGGUGCUGGACGCAGAAGCCAAGACUUUGACCGCAUCUGCGAGACCGCAGGUGUGGUACCUGGGUCGUAGAUGCGGAACCUGAAGGAGUAAGUGAAAUCCACAGAAGCGGGUGUUUUUCCGCAGAAGCGGAAGCACAGAUGCAUUUAUUGGACCGCAGAUGCGGAAAUGCAUGGGUUAGAAUAUUAUAUUUUCUCCUCCGCAAUUUUUAGAGGGUUUCACUACUUUUAAACACGAAUUUUGGAGCUUCGGGUGAUUUUGAAGAGAGAAAUCAUUUGGAUUAUGAAAACUCAUUUUUAUGGUGUUAAUUUGCUGAAUAGAGCUGUAAUUAAGGGUAAAAUUAAAGAAACUUGGGCCUUUGAUUGAGGAUUUGAAAGUUCGUUUGUGGUCGAAUUUUAGAACUUUUGAUAUGUAUGAACUCGUGAGGAGAUAAAGAAUUUAAAGAUAUAAAAUUUAUCGAAUUUUGAGACAUGGGUCCGGGGGUUGGGUUUUGGUCGAAUAUUUUCGAGUGGGCUUGGUCCCUUUAGCAUAUUUUGAUGAUUACGCUCUAAUUUUGGUGGAUUCGGAGCAUCCGGAGGCUAAUUCGAGGAGCGAGUUUGGGCCGGAUUGAGGUGAGUAAUGAUUUUAAAUGCUUUUCUCCGGGUAUGAAACCCCGAAUUACACAAUGUUCGGCUAUGUUGAGGUGACACACACGCUAGAUGAUGGCCGUGGGGUCGUGCAUCAUUAGGGAUUGGUGACUUAGUCCAUCCCGAAUGACUGUUUUAUUGCGUACUUAAUAGCAAUUUGUUUGAUAUUGUCAUGUUUUGGGCUAAAUGUCAUAUUUGGGCUUCGUGCUAACUGUUUGAACCUUUCAGGGAUUUUAUUGAUAUUUUCCUCAUUUUUUGAUUUCAUAUUUGUUCUUAGUCAUGCCAUAUUUUUACUGUUUUCAAAACUCAGCUAUGUUAUUCUGUUUUAAUACCUCAAAUGAUAUUUUUUAAGAUAUUUUGAGCCAAGCUUCAUAUUUACUGAUGCCCGGGGGGCUUAUAAGAUUCUGACUGAGUAAGGCCGAGGACCUGUAUCGUGAGGAUACUUUUAGGUCGGGCUGCACACCGCAACACUGAUAUACUUAUUAUGAUGAUGAGGCUAAUGGCUUGAAUUGUACGAUACAAAGUGGCUUGCGAUUGGUAUGAGGACGAGAGCCUGUUUAUGAUGCUACGAGAUAGCUGGAUAUUGCGCUUGGGCUGUAAGGGGCCCAUUCCGGAGUUUGUACAACCCCAGUGAGCGCGAGUACCCAUUGUGAUAUGAGAUAUAGCCCGAGGGUCUGAUAUUGUUAUGUGAUAUUGUCCGAGGGGCUGAUUUUGUUGGUGUUUUUGAGCCUGAAGGGCAAUCCUUAUGUGUUUACCUUUCUAGCUAUUUUUCCUUUAAUUUUUUAACUGUUUAAAUGACGUUCUAUGAGAUUUCACUGUUGAAUUGUGUUUAUUGACUUUGUUCUACCUCUUAUAGCUUAUUAUUAUGUUUAACCUGAUUUUAUAUCGAUCAGUCUUCAUGUGACGACCCGACCCGUCGUCUUCCGUAUUUAAGCCUCGUUAUCCCCGUAUUAUGCUUCCCCGUGUGUUGAUAUAUGUGUUUGGUGAGUUGGAAGUGUGUNNNNNNNNNNNNNNNNNNNNNNNNNNNNNNNNNNNNNNNNNNNNNNNNNNNNNNNNNNNNNNNNNNNNNNNNNNNNNNNNNNNNNNNNNNNNNNNNNNNNNNNNNNNNNNNNUUGGUGAGUUGGAAGUGUGUUGGGUUGAAUUUGGUUAGAAAUGAGACCAAUAGUCUCUUUAAGGAAAGCUUAAGUUGGAAAGGUCAACCGGACGUUGGCUUAUGAGUUAGAGGGCUCGGAAUGGACUUUCGAUGAUUCGACUAGUUCUGGAUGGUGAUUUAUGACUUGGGAGCUAAAUCGAAAUUGAAUUUGGAGGUCCGGUGUAGAAUAAGGCUUGAAUUGGCGAAGUUUGAAUUUCAGAGAAAUUUGGUUGAUAAGUGAAAAUUUAAUCCGUGGGUCGGAAUGGAAUUCUGAGUGUUGCAUUAGCUUCGUUUGGUGAAUUUGAGUAUAUGUACAAAUUUUCAGGUCAUUCGGACGUUGUUUGGUUGUGUUUUGAAUCGAAUGUGAAAUUAGAAAGUUAUAGUUUAUCUUAGAAGGAAAUUCAAUGAUUUUGGUGAUUUAUGAUUUUAAAGAUAGCGUUUUUAUGGCCCGAGCAAAAUUGAAUGGAGUAAUAAGUCGUAUUGGUGCUUUUGGUUGAGGUCCCGGGGGCCUCGGGGUGAUUUCGGAUUGUUGACGGAUGAUUUUGAAGUUGAAAAGUGUUGCAGACGGAUUGCUCUAUGCGAUCGCAUGAAUGGCGUUGCGAUCGCAUAGAAGGCUGGGCUGGGGUCCCAAAAAUUGUUCAAUGCGGUCGCGUUCAGGGGAUGCGAUUGUGUAGGCUAAGGUCUUGGUGCUCUGUGAUCGCUGAGCUUGGAAUGCGUUCGCGUAGGUUCAGCUGAUGAAGCUGUGCGGUCGCAGGGUUGAGGUCGCGUUCGCAGAGGCCAUUGGGGAGGCCUGGAAAUGUUGUUCUAUGCGAUCACGUGAGGAAAGUCGUGAUCGCAUAAAGGAAAGUAGAGCUGGGCAGAGGGCUUUUUAAUAAUAUUUCUUCCGCGAGCUCCUCAUUAUUUCCUCCAUUUAUACAAUAUCUUGAGAGCUCAUUGACAGAUUUUGAAGGGGAUUUCGACGGGAAGUGAUGAGAGGUAAGUCCCUCGGCCUAGAAACAUCAUUUAAUCAUGAUUUUAGCCCUUAAAUUUCUGAAAUCAAAUUAAAUUAGGGAAGAAAUAGGGCUUGAAAUUUCAAAUGAAGAUUUGGGAUUUGGAGGAGCAAUUGGACUCCGAUUUUGAUGAACUUUAUAUGUACGGACUCGUGACGAGACGAGAAUUCCAAACAUAUAAGUUUCGUAACUAGAAGCGGGCCGGGGGCUCGGGUUUUCCUAGUUUUGAAAUUUUGGCUAUUUGUCGGUUGUUUUCGAUUGGGUAUUGUCCCAUGGGCAUUUUUGUGAUGUAUUCGCUCUAUUUUUGUUUAGGUUCGACACGCAAAGAGGCCGAACUGAGAGUCAAAGGCGUCGCGGGCUUGAGAUUUCAUCGGUUCGAGGAGAGUAAUGCUAGUAAAUGCUGUUCUGAGGGUUUGAAACCCCGGACUUUCAUAUCGUAUCGCUAUGUUGAGGAGUGACACGCACUCCAUGAUAAGUGCGGGGUUGGAUACUGUUGAGGGAUUGUGACGUGGUCCAUCCCGAGUGAGAAUUAUACCAUAUUGGCGUAUGAUACGCAUACUGUGAUGACUAUUAUUGGGCUUUAUGCCGUGUUUGGGGCCUAGUAUCGACCUGUGAUAUCCUUCGAAAGUUGGUAUUACUAUUUUUGCAUGAUUGCAUAUCAUUUACUAUCAGUCCAUGGUUUAAAACAUUGUUUUCAAAACCCAGCCUGAUAUCCUUCGGGGGUUGGUAUUACUGUUUUAGCAUGAUUGCAUAUCAUUGUGUAUCAGUCCAUGGUUUUAAAGCAUUGUUUUCAAAACCCAGUCGUCUUUCAAAUGUUGAGAAAUCAUAUGCUAUCUUUUAAAUGUAUUUCCGUUGAGGAUCAUUGUUUAUAACUGUCCAAGGGGAUUAUGAUAUAUUUUCUGGACUGAUUUUGGGUGGCUCGGGCUGCGCGUCGCAGCAGUGAUUAGAAACAGUGGUAACUCGGACACUGUGUGAUAUGAGCGGUCAGCUAAUAUGGACUGGCCUAGUUAUUGAUUUUCGCCACAAGAUGGUUGGUUUGAUUAUUCGUCACGAGAUGGCUGGUUAUUGCGCUUGGGCUGUAGGAGCCCUUCCGGAGUCUUUACACACCCCCAGUGAGCGUCGUCGACGAUAAAUGAUAUGGGUGGCUCGGGCUGCACGCCGCAGUGGGUACUGGAUUGUACCAUCAUAUGCAUUGCAUCGCAUCCCUGCAUUUGCAUCACACAUAUAUAUUGUUGUUCAGUUGUUUAGUUGCAGAUACUGUUAUACACUGUUUUAGCCUACUUUGUAUAAUUAUUGGGUUUUCUUGCUUUUGGAGCUUUAUUUACUGUUAUUACUCACUGAGUUGGUAGACUCACCCCCUACUCCCUGCACCUUGUGUGUAGAUUCAGGUACUCCAGAGGAUUUGCACGUGCGGUUGCUGAUUAUUAGUUGACGGAGUAUUGAGGUAGCUGCCAGCGUCCGCAGGACCCAUGUCUCUGAUUCUUCUAGUUAUUUUCUACUUAUUCUGACACUUGUAUUUCCCUCAUUCUGACAUGUAUUCAGUAUUGUUAGAGGCUCUAAUACUCGUGACCCCAAGUCUUGGGAGUUUUAUAUCUAAGUUUGCUGUUUUAUCUUGAAUUGUCUCUCUUUGGGCUGUAUGCCGUUUUUGGGGAGUUAUUUUGUCG